rnacentral:rRNA from 1 species
CAGCGGGGGGUAGCUUGCUACCUCGCCGGCGAGUGGCGGACGGGUGAGUAAUGCCUGGGGAGCUGCCCAGUCGAGGGGGAUACCAGUUGGAAACGACUGCUAAUACCGCAUACGCCCUGAGGGGGAAAGGUGGGGAUCUUCGGACCUACCGCGAUUGGAUGCGCCCAGGUGGGAUUAGCUAGUUGGUGAGGUAACGGCUCACCAAGGCGACGAUCUCUAGCUGGUCUGAGAGGAUGACCAGCCACACUGGAACUGAGACACGGUCCAGACUCCUACGGGAGGCAGCAGUGGGGAAUAUUGCACAAUGGGGGAAACCCUGAUGCAGCCAUGCCGCGUGUGUGAAGAAGGCCUUCGGGUUGUAAAGCACUUUCAGUCAGGAGGAAAGGUGGCUAGCUAAUACCUAGUUGCUGUGACGUUACUGACAGAAGAAGCACCGGCUAACUCCGUGCCAGCAGCCGCGGUAAUACGGAGGGUGCAAGCGUUAAUCGGAAUUACUGGGCGUAAAGCGCACGCAGGCGGCUUGUUAAGUCAGAUGUGAAAGCCCCGGGCUCAACCUGGGAACUGCAUUUGAAACUGACAAGCUAGAGUCUUGUAGAGGGGGGUAGAAUUCCAGGUGUAGCGGUGAAAUGCGUAGAGAUCUGGAGGAAUACCGGUGGCGAAGGCGGCCCCCUGGACAAAGACUGACGCUCA